AUGCAUGUCUGAGUACAGACCGAUCUAAGGUGAAACCGCGAAUGGCUCAUUAAAUCAGUCGUAAUUUCUUGGAUAGUGAAAAACUUUCCUCGGAUAACUGUGGAAAAUCCAGAGCUAAUACGUGCAACUGAGCUCCGACCUCGGCGAGAGCCUUGGGAAGAGCGCAUUUAUUAGAUUCAAAACUGACCGGUGUACUCCUUCGGGAUACGCCGUUUGUCAAAUGUUUGAUGACUCCGGAUAACUUAGCCGAGCGCUACGGUCUCUGUGCCGGCGCCGUAUCUUUCAAGUGUCUGCCUUAUCAGCUUUCGAUUGUAGGUUAAACGCCUACAAUGGCUGUAACGGGUAACGGGGAAUCAGGGUUCGAUUCCGGAGAGGGAGCCUGAGAAACGGCUACCACAUCUAAGGAAGGCAGCAGGCACGCAAAUUACCCACUCCCAGCCCGGGGAGGUAGUGACGAAAAAUAACGAUGCGAGACUCUUCCGAGGCCUCGCAAUCGGAAUGAGUCCAUCCUAAAUCUUUGGACGAGGAUCCAUUGGAGGGCAAGUCUGGUGCCAGCAGCCGCGGUAAUUCCAGCUCCAAUAGCGUAUAUUAAAGUUGCUGCGGUUAAAAAGCUCGUAGUUGGACUUUCUAGAUCCAUUUCGUGGGUGAGUCGCUCGUCGCUCUGGAGUGUCGCGUCAGUCACUAGAUAGCUUUGCGUUUCGGCGUAUGUUUAC
rnacentral:rRNA from 1 species